rnacentral:rRNA from 1 species
UACGUAGGGUGCGAGCGUUGUCCGGAAUUAUUGGGCGUAAAGGGCUCGUAGGCGGUUUGUCGCGUCGGGAGUGAAAACCUUGGGCUUAACUCAGGGCUUGCUUUCGAUACGGGCAGACUAGAGGUAUGCAGGGGAGAACGGAAUUCCUGGUGUAGCGGUGAAAUGCGCAGAUAUCAGGAAGAACACCAACGGCGAAGGCAGCUCGCUGGGACGGUACUGACGCUGAGACGCGAAAGCGUGGGGAGCGAACAGG